rnacentral:rRNA from 1 species
UACGUAGGGUGCGAGCGUUGUCCGGAAUUAUUGGGCGUAAAGGGCUCGUAGGCGGUUUGUCGCGUCGGGAGUGAAAACUCAGGGCUCAACCCUGAGCGUGCUUCCGAUACGGGCAGACUAGAGGUAUUCAGGGGAGAACGGAAUUCCUGGUGUAGCGGUGGAAUGCGCAGAUAUCAGGAGGAACACCGGUGGCGAAGGCGGUUCUCUGGGAAUUACCUGACGCUGAGGAGCGAAAGCAUGGGGAGCGAACAGG